rnacentral:lncRNA from 1 species
CUCUAGCUCAAAGUUCGAGACAAAAAGACAACAACCUAGGCCGUUUUGUGCCUGGGUAGAGGUGUCAAGUAAGCCGGCUCGUGUCUACUUGGACCGAUCUACAAUGGGCACUUAUUUUUGUAAGAUCGCAACGGAUCGGUCCGUUAGGACUACACGCAAAAAUAAUAUGUUUAGAUCCGCUCUGCUAUCGUCAACAGGUUAGCAGGCCGGCCCGCAAGUUUAUCUUUUAUUUUUAUAAGUAACUAAAAUUUAAAUUAACAAUUAUGAAAUUUGAAUUUUUUAUUAUUAUUAUUAUUAUUGUAAAUCUUAUAAUUUUAUAUAUUAUAUUUCAUUACACUAUCACAUUUUUUAUAUUUUUAUUUUAAAAAUUAUAUAAAAGUGUUUAUUUAUUAAUAUUUUAGAUUUAUUUUUAUUAAAUAUUUGUAGUCUGCAGACCGGUCCGCAAAUCCAUUAACAAAACCCGUUAAAAC